rnacentral:rRNA from 1 species
AGGACGAACGCUGGCGGCGUGCUUAACACAUGCAAGUCGAGCGGUAAGGCUCCUUCGGGAGUACACGAGCGGCGAACGGGUGAGUAACACGUGAGCAAUCUGCCCUCCACAUCGGGAUAACCCCCGGAAACGGGAGCUAAUACCGGAUACGACCACUUCAGGCAUCUGAUGGUGGUGGAAAGUUCCGGCGGUGGAGGAUGAGCUCGCGGCCUAUCAGCUUGUUGGUGAGGUAAUGGCCCACCAAGGCUUCGACGGGUAGCCGGCCUGAGAGGGUGACCGGCCACACUGGGACUGAGACACGGCCCAGACUCCUACGGGAGGCAGCAGUGGGGAAUAUUGGACAAUGGGCGAAAGCCUGAUCCAGCAACGCCGCGUGAGGGAUGACGGCCUUCGGGUUGUAAACCUCUUUCAGCGCAGACGAAGCGAAAGUGACGGUAUGCGCAGAAGAAGCACCGGCCAACUACGUGCCAGCAGCCGC